UUUUAUUAAACAAUUUUAAUAAAUUUAAAGUUCUAAAAUGGCACGUUAUUUUAAAGAACAAGAUAUAGACGAAUUUCGUGAGUGUUUUUACUUAUUCGCACGAUCAGGCCAAAUUACUACUUUAGACGAAUUGACCGUCAUAAUGCGUUCUUUAGGGUUAUCACCCACU